UCCGUGGAUCGGUUAAACAUUCUAUUAGGGAGCCCGGUCUUGACUCUUCUGUGUGGUAUUCAUUCUCGUUCGGCUCUUGGGAUCACAUCCAGCAGUGGUUGGAACAGCUCGCAAAAUCCAACCACUUCACCUACUUUAUUGCCCCCAACCAUUUCCCGUACCUCUAUAGAAACAAAAGGGUUUCAUGUUCUUUCAUCGAUUGGGUAUUCCUCUCCUUUUGUAUCUAUUUAUCCAAUUUUGGUCUCGAUUAGUUCACAAGAUUGA
rnacentral:rRNA from 1 species